rnacentral:rRNA from 1 species
AUGUGGUGGGCCUUGGAGAAACACAAAGUCCCAGCAAAAUACAUUACCCUCAUCAAGGACAUGUACAAUAAUGUUGUGACAAGUGUUCGAACAAGUGAUGUCGACACCGAUGACUUCCCGAUUAAGAUAGGACUGCAUCAGGGGUCAGCUUUGAGCCCUUAUCUUUUUGCAUUGGUGAUGGAUGAGGUCACAGGGGGUAUACAAGGAGAUAUCCCAUGGUGUAUGCUCUUUGCGGAUGAUGUGGUGCUAGUUGACGAUAGUCGGACGGGGGUAAAUAGGAAGUUAGAGUUAUGGAGACAAACCUUGGAAUCGAAAGGGUUUAGGCUUAGUAGAACUAAAACCGAGUACAUGAUGUGCGGUUUCAGUACUACUAGCUGUGAGGAGGAUGAGGUUAGCCUUGAUGGCCAGGUGGUACCUCGGAAGGACACCUUUCGGUAUUUGGGGUCAAUGUUGCAGGAGGAUGGGGGUAUUGAUGAAGAUGUGAACCAUCGAAUCAAAGCCGGAUGGAUGAAGUGGCGCCAAGCUUCUGGCAUUCUCUGUGACAAGAGAGUGCCACAAAAGCUAAAAGGCAAGUUCUACAGGACGGCGGUUCGACCCGCAAUGUUGUAUGGCGCGGAGUGUUGGCCGACUAAAAGGCGACAUGUUCAACAGUUAGGUGUGGCGGAGAUGCGUAUGUUGAGAUGGAUGUGUGGCCACACGAGGAAGGAUCGAGUCCGGAAUGAUGAUAUACGAGAUAGAGUUGGGGUAGCACCAAUUGAGGAGAAGCUUGUCCACAUCGUUUGA